rnacentral:rRNA from 1 species
AUUGAACGCUGGCGGCAUGCCUUACACAUGCAAGUCGAACGGCAGCACGGGAGCAAUCCUGGUGGCGAGUGGCGAACGGGUGAGUAAUGCAUCGGAACGUGUCCUGUAGUGGGGGAUAGCCCGGCGAAAGCCGGAUUAAUACCGCAUACGACCUGAGGGUGAAAGCGGGGGAUCUUCGAACCUCGCGCUAUAGGAGCGGCCGAUGUCAGAUUAGGUAGUUGGUGGGGUAAAGGCCUACCAAGCCGACGAUCUGUAGCUGGUCUGAGAGGACGACCAGCCACACUGGGACUGAGACACGGCCCAGACUCCUACGGGAGGCAGCAGUGGGGAAUUUUGGACAAUGGGCGCAAAGCCCUGAUCCAGCCAUGCCGCGUGCAGGAAAGAAAGGGCCUUUCGGGUUGUAAAACUGCUUUUGUU